rnacentral:rRNA from 1 species
GAUGAACGCUGGCGGCGUGCCUAAUACAUGCAAGUCGAGCGAACAGACGAGGAGCUUGCUCCUCUGACGUUAGCGGCGGACGGGUGAGUAACACGUGGAUAACCUACCUAUAAGACUGGGAUAAUUUCGGGAAACCGGAGCUAAUACCGGAUAAUAUAUUGAACCGCAUGGUUCAAUAGUGAAAGACGGUUUUGCUGUCACUUAUAGAUGGAUCCGCGCCGCAUUAGCUAGUUGGUAAGGUAACGGCUUACCAAGGCAACGAUGCGUAGCCGACCUGAGAGGGUGAUCGGCCACACUGGAACUGAGACACGGUCCAGACUCCUACGGGAGGCAGCAGUAGGGAAUCUUCCGCAAAGGGCGAAAGCCUGACGGAGCAACGCCGCGUGAGUGAUGAAGGUCUUCGGAUCGUAAAACUCUGUUAUUAGGGAAGAACAAAUGUGUAAGUAACUAUGCACGUCUUGACGGUACCUAAUCAGAAAGCCACGGCUAACUACGUG